rnacentral:rRNA from 1 species
UAACACAUGCAAGUCGAACGAAGCCCUCGGGCUUAGUGGCGGACGGGUGAGUAACGCGUGAGAAUCUACCUCCGAGAUGGGGACAACCGUUGGAAACGACGGCUAAUCCCCAAUAAGCCGAAAGGUGAAAGGGUUUCCGCUCGCAGAGGAGCUCGCGUCCGAUUAGUUAGUUGGUGGGGUAAGAGCCUACCAAGGCAGCGAUCGGUAGCUGGUCUGAGAGGAUGAGCAGCCACACUGGGACUGAGACACGGCCCAGACUCCUACGGGAGGCAGCAGUGGGGAAUUUUCCGCAAUGGGCGCAAGCCUGACGGAGCAACGCCGCGUGUGGGAAGAAGGCUCUUGGGCUGUCAACCACUUUUCUCAGGGAAGAAGUCCUGACGGUACCUGAGGAAUCAGCCUCGGCUAACUCCGUGCCAGCAGCCGCGGUAAUACGGAGGAGGCAAGCGUUAUCCGGAAUUAUUGGGCGUAAAGCGUCCGCAGGGGGCACUUCAAGUCUGCUGUCAAAGGUCGGAGCUUAACUCCGGUUCGGCAGUGGAAACUGGAGCGCUAGAGGGCGACAGGGGUAGAGGGAAUUCCCAGUGUAGCGGUGAAAUGCGUAGAGAUUGGGAAGAACACCNGGUGGCGGAAAAGCCGCUCCUACUGGGGUCGCACCUGACCCUCAGGGACGAAAGCUAAGGUAGCGAAAGGGAUUAGAUACCCCUGUAGUCUUAGCCGUAAACCGAUGGAUACUAGGCGUGGUUUGUAUCGACCCAAGCCGUGCCGAAGCUAACGCGUUAAGUAUCCCGCCUGGGGAGUACGCACGCAAGUGUGAAACUCACAGGAAUUGACGGGGGCCCGCACAAGCGGUGGAGGAUGUGGUUUACUUCGAUGCCACGCGAAGAACCUUACCAGGGCUUGACAUCCCGCGAAUCUUGCUGACAGGCGAGAGUGCCUUCGGGAGCGCGGAAACAGGUGGUGCAUG